CCUACGGGCGGCAGCAGUGGGGAAUAUUGGACAAUGGGGGCAACCCUGAUCCAGCCAUGCCGCGUGUGUGAAGAAGGCCCUCGGGUUGUAAAGCACUUUCAGUGAGGAAGAACGCCUGGUGGUUAAUACCCAUCAGGAAAGACAUCACUCACAGAAGAAGCACCGGCUAACUCCGUGCCAGCAGCCGCGGUAAUACGGAGGGUGCGAGCGUUAAUCGGAAUUACUGGGCGUAAAGCGCGCGUAGGUGGCUUGAUAAGCCGGUUGUGAAAGCCCCGGGCUCAACCUGGGAACGGCAUCCGGAACUGUCAAGCUAGAGUGCAGGAGAGGAAGGUAGAAUUCCCGGUGUAGCGGUGAAAUGCGUAGAGAUCGGGAGGAAUACCAGUGGUGAAGGCGGCCUUCUGGACUGACACUGACACUGAGGUGCGAAAGCGUGGGUAGCAAACAGGAUUAGAUACCCCAGUAGUC
rnacentral:rRNA from 1 species